rnacentral:rRNA from 1 species
UACGAAGGGGGCUAGCGUUGCUCGGAAUCACUGGGCGUAAAGCGCACGUAGGCGGCUUCUUAAGUCAGGGGUGAAAUCCUGGAGCUCAACUCCAGAACUGCCUUUGAUACUGGGCAUCUUGAGUCCGGAAGAGGUAAGUGGAACUGCGAGUGUAGAGGUGAAAUUCGUAGAUAUUCGCAAGAACACCAGUGGCGAAGGCGGCUUACUGGUCCGGUACUGACGCUGAGGUGCGAAAGCGUGGGGAGCAAACAGG